AAGAGAGGUGGGUUUGACUGACCUGGUUUAGCUGUCUAAUUUCAGGAGAGAGUCCAUGGCUAACGAUCCGGAGUGGAGGGAUGUUCCUAUCUUUGGUCCAUCAGUCAGGUGCACAUGGGCAGCCAGUUUUUGGAAAGUUUGUGUUGCUCUAUUUGCUAACAUGACUCAUGGAUGCAGUACCCUUAAGUCUCAACCAGUUGUGCCAUAUGAAGAGAACCUUUACUGCCCACAACCUGCAUAGAUCCAAAAGUGGUCAAAAGAACAAAGAAAGACACUCAAUUCUAUUCACAGCCUGGGAUUGCCAAAAUAGGUUGCUUCAUUCAGGAAGCUAAUUGGAUAACUCAAGUUCCCAAGGUUAAAUUGAAUAGACAACAUUAAGGGUCUCAUUCUGCAGGCAACAGGACUUUUUCUAAGUAAGGACUGAGUGAAGACUGCAGGACUGGACCAUAAAUCUGUUGGAUCACAAAACUGAUAAGUUCAGUACCAGCACAGACAGUGCACAGAAAAGAGUGGAGGCUGUGGAAAAGCAAAGCAUGCUCUUUGGAUAAGAAAGGUGCGCAAACCCAGGGAUUCCUUUACAAAACUCAAGGAAAACAGCAUAAUUUAAAAAAGAACCUGAACAGAUGGACAAGUAAAAAAAUUGGGCUUUCAGUUAAUAUUUAAUAUAACUAAUCAACUGUUGAAAUAGCCAGAUUUUUAUUUGUUUUUUAAAUUAUUUUACUAUUUUUUUGAGUUCAUACUUUGGAAUAUGUUACCAAGUUUAAAUGAGGAGUGAAAUUUAUAGUUUCCUGACAUUAAAGAGUCUCUAAAGGAAUGGCUAGCACAGCCAUAAUUAUAAUGGUUCUAACA